GGGCCCGUAGCUCAGCCUGGCUGGAGCACUAGAUCCAAAAUCGAGAGGUCCUGCGUUCAAAUCGCAGCGGGCCCA
rnacentral:tRNA from 1 species